CAACAAUGCUACUUGUGAAACGUCAGAAAAGACAGCAUUAUUGCAAAGUAAUACAAGCGUCACGCGUAGACCAACCGCUUUUCCACGAAAACAAGUGUUUACAUACUGUAUCAUACUAAUAAGUGGCAUAAUAUCUUUACCGAGACUAAUCAUUGAAGUACUCAGAUUAUUGGGGUUUAUAGGAACUGAUUUCUUUUGGAUUUCCUCUAUAACUACUAUUUUCGAGCAUACUGUGUUACUACUGGCUCUUGCGGUGUGUUUUCGUGCAGUUCAACACCAGUGUAUGCCGCGUAUUGAGAAUACUGCAUACGCCAUCGGAAACGUUCUGUUGAUUUUUAGCUUAAUCUUUACGACGGGAUACUAUACGCUGUACUUGAUGGCUAAAAUAUUUCCAAUCGUCACGAAAUAUCGAAGUUUAUUCAUUAUAAAAGGCAUUUUACGGAUUAUCGUCCUAUACCUACAAACUGUAUACAUAUUACAGAUGACAAAAUACACGAUAACAUCUUCAAGAUCACGGUAUUUCUCAGUGAAUUAUAUAUGUCUACUAAUUGGACUUAUUACCUUUGGUUAUUGGAUUUCUAGUACUUUCAUCGUGGUACAAUAUGUCUAUAAAUUCCAAAA
rnacentral:lncRNA from 1 species